GCACGGGUGAGUAACGCGUAGGCAACCUACCCCUAGAAUUGGAAUAACCUCGGGAAACCGAAGCUAAUACCGAAUGACAUCUUAGAAUCGCAUGAUUCAUAGAUCAAAACUCCGGUGUCUAGGGAUGAACCCGCGUAGGAUUAGCUAGUUGGUGAGGUAAAAGCUCACCAAGGCUCCGAUCCUUAGCUGGUCUGAGAGGAUGAUCAGCCACACUGGGACUGAGACACGGCCCAGACUCC
rnacentral:rRNA from 1 species